GAUGAACGCUGGCGGCGUGCCUAAUACAUGCAAGUCGAGCGAACGGACGAGAAGCUUGCUUCUCUGAUGUUAGCGGCGGACGGGUGAGUAACACGUGGAUAACCUACCUAUAAGACUGGGAUAACUUCGGGAAACCGUAGCUAAUACCGGAUAAUAUUUUGAACCGCAUGGUUCAAAAGUGAAAGACGGUCUUGCUGUCACUUAUAGAUGGAUCUGCGCUGCAUUAGCUAGUUGGUAAGGUAAAGGCUUACCAAGGGAACGAUGCAUAGCCGACCUGCGAGGGUGGUCGGCCACACUGGAGCUGAGCCACGGUCCAGACUCCUACGGGAGGCAGCAGUAGGGAAUCUUCCGCAAUGGGCGAAAGCCUGACGGAGCAACGCGGCGUGAGAGAUGAAGGUCUUCGGAUCGUAAAACUCUGUUAUUAGGGAAGAACAUAUGUGUAAGUAACUGUGCACAGCUUGACGGUACCUAAUCAGAAAGCCACGGCUAACUACGUG
rnacentral:rRNA from 1 species